UUGCUUGAAGUUUUCUCUUAUGCCAAAGAAGACAAGUACCUCCAAAGUUUGAACGCUUCUACCAAGACGUGCAGACGGUCGUUGAUAUAUAUUUAAAUUACGACUGUGAAUUGGCUUUGUCGAAUAUCUUUCAAAGAUUGAUCAAUGAUUUGUCUAAAGUUGCCCAAGGAUGUCAAGCUAUUGAAUUAGGAGCGACACCAGUUCAAGAACGCAGUAUUCGUAUCAAAGGUCUGGAAUGUCUCGUUUCUAUUCUUAAAUGUAUGGUAGAAUGGAGCAGGGAUCUUUACUUUAAACCUGAUUCUCAGGUGGAGGAUAACUUUGAUCUGGUUGAUGGUGCACCAACAAUUUCUCGAAAAGGAAGCACAGAGGAGAAUGAAAACAGGGGGAGUCUUGUGAUUUACAAUCUCAAAAAACGGGGGGUAGUCAGUCGUCUAUUAAUAGUACAAAAGCCAUCGAUAAUGCUGAAGAAUUUGAGAGUCUUAAACAGAAGAAGGAGA